rnacentral:sRNA from 1 species
CCAUGGAUUCUCCUCUUUAGACGGCGAUAGCGUCAUAUAUCAUCCAUAUUCGAGACCAGUCGUCAACUCAUCCUAUUCAGUCUGAGCUUCGCGGAUGAAGUCAAGUCAUCCCAACUGGUACCCCGUUCACUAUCGUGUCCAUCCUCCGGCACAGUUCUCUUAUCCGCGAUCACCGUCCUUGCGUGGUGUCCCCACUUGUUUUAAUAGAAAGAAGCUCAGCGGCGAAUAAAGCAAAAUGCGAUUGAGUGUAAAAUGACGACUGGAAUCUCCCUUGAAUUGAACCCAGCAUCUUCGAGCUUCUGGAAGUUACUCUAAUACUUCUUGUUUCGUUGGCCUCCACGAGCCCAGGAGAUCCGGACUUGGUAUGGACAUUCAAGUACGAACAUGCUCUAACCUAUGACAUUUGCGUUUCGAGUAAUUCGAAGAGGGAUGUUGCUCAAAUCUUGUCUGCUACUAUACUCGAACUUAGGGAUCAACCUCAUUUUGACAGACAAGAAAUUGACAGUUCCAAACCUUCUUUCACAUUAAGUUACCACUUACAAUCGACUGAUUGGUGAUUUUGAAGUACAUUUCGAGCCUGUAAAGGGGGGAUACACCUGGUACAUCGAUUACUUCCUGUUUACUUGCACGCUUCCCCUUAACCCAUGAUUCGGCUGCUUUCUGAUCUCUGGGUCUAUCCGAUCCUGGCUUGUCAAAACUAGUCAACAGGAUGGAUAUAUGCACAGCCGAGUUGCCUCUCGAGUGCCAGCUGGGAAGUUAGAACAAAAAAUCAAUCCAAAAGUUUCUAAAACCCACAGAGUAUCUAAAGCAGAUACCGGAGACUCAUCAAUUACAAUACCAUGAGGCAGCCAAUUUAAGGAGCAGCUUUAGAAAGCUGAAGGGACUAAAUUCUAAAGCACAGCUGGGAAUAGCAAGGCCUGCACGUUCUUGCAACCAUAAACUCUCGCAUUAAUGUUGGAAGAACCC